UGAACUCUAUCAUUUGCCCCAAAUUGUUUAUAAAGUGCUUUGCUAAGACAUUUUCUUCCAGAGAAGCAGCCUGGGAGGAGAGCUGAAAACCUGUGAUGGAGGGUGGCUGGGUAAUAUUAGACAAAUCCCCAAGCCAUCGUUUCCUCAUCCGCCUGGUACCGACAGGAAUCCCCUUCCCGACAACUUCACAAGAUGGCGGCCACAUAAAACAGGAAGAGGAGAGACGUGAUUCCAGCCUCACAGGGCCUACAGUCUAGUAGGGAGAGAUGAGAAAAUAGACAAUGAAGACACAGGUGCAGGAAAGUUUCCUGAGGAAGCCAAGUCUGCGCUGGGCCCUGAAAGACAAGCAGAACUUCUGAGAUGCUAUUUCCCACACCCGAUGGCUGUGUACCUGCACCUCCUUCCCCUGGCUGCCUCGCAGUGCUGUAUUCCCUGGUUUCCAGGCUUGAAGAACUCCUUUCAACAUUUCUUGUAAGGCAGAUCUAGUGGUGAUAAAGUCUCUCAGCUUUUGUUUGACUGGGAAAGUCUUUAUAUCUCCUUUAUUUUUGAAGCACAGCUUUAACAGGAAGAUUAGCCCUGAGCUAACAUCUGCUGCCAAUCCUCCUCUUUUUGCUGAGGAAGCCUGGUCCUGAGUUCACAUCCACGCCCAUCUUCUUCUACUUUAUAUGUGGGACGCCUGCCACAGCAUGGCUUGACAAGCAGUGCCAUGUCCGCACCCGGGAUCUGAACCAGUUAACCCUGGGCCGUGGAAGCAGAAAGUGCAAACUUAACCGCUAUACCACGGGGCUGGCCCCCUGAAGACAGAUAUUUUUAAAACCCCGUCUUUGGACCCUUAUUGUGGACGGCACUGAAUAAGUUAGGAGCAUUUAUACUGAUAAGGGUACAUUGAAACUUCUCCAUCUCAGCCCUCAGAUGGAGCCCAGAGUCCUCCAAGGACUUACUCUGUUCCUCUAAAGCAGUUGUUAUCCCUCAAACUCCAAACAGUUGAAUAAGUCAGACUCUAAAGGGCUUUUACACAUCUCUCUCAAAUGUAUAUAGCAAAGGAAAAUAGCAAUAGUAAAUCAUUCUGAUCAGAGAAACCGUUCAGAAACAAAUAAUAAAAUUCAAGGCAUAUAUCCUUUUGAUGUGGGUUGGUAUUGUCAUCUCAGUUUUAG
rnacentral:lncRNA from 1 species